UCUGUCAGCCCUUUGUCCAGUGAGAGAGCAGAAAUGAACAUCCUAGAAAUCAACCAGGAAUUGCUCUCACAGCUGAAAAUGAGCGAACAGCAGUUCCGAGACCUCAAAGAGAAAUUUCUUGUCUCUGAAGCUUCUGCCGAGUGUGAGGAGCACAAAGGCAUCACAGAAUCUCAGCUGGGGGAGAAGAUGCAGUUCAAGGAGGAGAAGCUGGCAGAGAAGUCGACACAAGCUGAGGAGCUCAGGUGAGGGAGGCUCUGUGUGGUGGGGCAGGCAGGUGAACCUUAGGUGAUACAAAGCCCUAGUUCACUCUCAGGUGUGAGAGCUGACCCAGUUAAGGAAGAAGUUAUGGGAAGGGAGAGAUGCCUCCCUCUUACUCAAUCAGCAUCUGAAGGCCCUUCUCACUGAUGAUGACCCUGACAACCACCAGGGGCAGGACCUCCGAGAGCAGCUGGCUGAGGGGCGAGGGGCGCAGGCUGGCAGAGUGCCUUGUCCGCAAGCUCAGCCCAGCAGAAAAUGAUGAAGUUGGAAAUGAAGAUGCUAAAGAUGAGAAAGUUGAAAAAGUCCAAGGACCACUUGCCUCCAGCGGUGGAGGUACAGGAGGCUGAAGAAAAGGAAGUCCCUUAGAACUCACUGGAGGAAUAUUCUGCCACUUGCUCAAUUUGCCAUGACUCUUCGGAUUCCCACCAGCCUCAGAGGUGUGCCAAAAUCACACCUGAGGAAGAGAAAGUCGACUCUGCUCUGGAUGUAGGCAGUGAAUCUUCACAUUAUGAAGGGGAGGAGGAAGUGCUAAAAGAAAAUCAAAAUGAUAAUGAGGAAGAGGACGGGAAACAGCCAGUGUCCCCCAGGCACCAGGCCCAGCAGGCAGCUGCUGGAGAUGGAAGAACUCGAUGUCUCAGAGGACGCACUGGAUGAAAGUUACUUGACUCCUUCAAUUGAAUAUGACCUAUGUGACUGCCACCAGGCUUACAGUAAGUAGCACCUUGUGCUUAUUGGAGGAACAGCUCACCUGCUUUGCUAUGGAUGUAGUCUGUCCCCAAGGGUCUUGGAGUGGAGACUUGAGCCACCGCCUGUCAGAGGUGCAAUCUUCACAUGCACAGCUGGAGCCAAGUACCCUGGUGCUCAGUUGUAUGCAAUUGCAGCUGGAUCAACGGUUUGAUUAUGGCUAUGGCAUAGUCAGGUGGUGCAUUUCCUCCACCACCCGGACCUUCACAGCCAAAUCUGAUUCUGGGAACCAAUGGCCCUUCAGCUGGGUUUGGAGCCUUCCCUUAGAAUGAAGAACCCUCCCCAACUGGAGGAUGAUGAUCUUGAAGGUCCAGCUGACAACAUGCAUGAGUGUCAAGUCAUUGGCCACAUUCAUGCCUCAAGUGUUCUGAAACAGAUUAUCAAAAGAAAACUGCUGUUGAGCAAGUUCAGACUGGCAUGCAGAUUUCCUUGCCUUCAAGCUUAAGGUA
rnacentral:lncRNA from 1 species